rnacentral:rRNA from 1 species
GAUGAACGCUAGCGAUAGGCCUAACACAUGCAAGUCGAGGGGCAUCACAUGAAGUAGCAAUACGGAUGGUGGCGACCGGCGCACGGGUGAGUAACACGUAUGCAACCUGCCUUCAACAAGGGGAUAACCCGUUGAAAGACGGACUAAUACCCUAUAACACAGGGGUCCCGCAUGGGAAUAUUUGUUAAAGGACAACCGGUUGAAGAUGGGCAUGCGUUCCAUUAGCUAGUUGGCGGGGUAACGGCCCACCAAGGCAACGAUGGAUAGGGGAACUGAGAGGUUUAUCCCCCAACUGGUACUGAGACACGGACCAGACUCCUACGGGAGGCAGCAGUGAGGAAUAUUGGUCAAUGGACGCAAGUCUGAACCAGCCACGUCGCGUGAAGGAAGACGGCCCUACGGGUUGUAAACUUCUUUUAUACGGGAAUAAAGUGCCCCACGUGUGGGGUUUUGCAAGUACCGUAUGAAUAAGGAU